CAAAGAAACAAGUGUACUACACCGUGAGGAAUCGAGUCUCAGAGAUUUACAUUCCGAGGUUCAGAUCAACAACUGAGACACUGCGGAGACAGACUUGAAAAGCUCGACCAGGUUGAAGGUUUAAUCAAAGAAGCCAUUGAGAAUUGGAACAGCAUUCAGGGAGCAUACAGAGAUGCAUACCCAUACGAAGGACGUGCAUUACAUGGUGUAGAGGAAAUGUUCAAAAUGAUCAGAAUCGCUUUAGAAAUCUUUAGUAAGAUGGAGAA